rnacentral:rRNA from 1 species
AUGAAGGAGCUGGGGCUGCGUGAAGAGGAUUUGGACGACGUUGUGUUUGAUGAGAAGGAGGUGCCACAGGAGGCGGCGAGAUGGGUCGCCCUUGCUAGGGUUAAUACCAAUAAAACCUACAGCAAGACUUGGUUCUAUCGCAACAUGAGAGCUGCCUGGGAUAUUGCGCAAGAAUCAAAGUUCAGACCUUUAGAGGAUAAUCUGUAUACUGUGCAAUUUACAUGUUUAGGAGAUUGGGAA